UNCCACGGGGCCUCAGAUAAUGUGCUC
rnacentral:piRNA from 1 species